CAAAAUGCAAAAAAACAAACAACAACACAAAAUCAAAACCAUCAACUCCAAAACCAACCUACGACUUACCCUGGUCGAAGAAGACGCCAUUCCGCAAAACGAAGACCGCAAACGAAGCAAAUGAUGAAACACCCACAACCUUUACGAAGCCCAACGCCAACAACAACGAACAACCCGCAAAACGAAGGCUAAACCGGAGCCAAUACAAGCAAACCCACACAACCCUAGUGCCAAUGCAGAGAAUGGAAGAGAUCUUUGAGUUUGAUGAAAGAGGGAAGAAGAGA
rnacentral:lncRNA from 1 species